AUUGAACGCUGGCGGCAUGCCUUACACAUGCAAGUCGAACGGCAGCACGGGAGCAAUCCUGGUGGCGAGUGGCGAACGGGUGAGUAAUAUAUCGGAACGUGCCCAGUCGUGGGGGAUAACGCAGCGAAAGCUGUGCUAAUACCGCAUACGAUCUAUGGAUGAAAGCGGGGGACCGCAAGGCCUCGCGCGAUUGGAGCGGCCGAUAUCAGAUUAGCUAGUUGGUGGGGUAAAGGCCCACCAAGGCGACGAUCUGUAGCUGGUCUGAGAGGACGACCAGCCACACUGGAACUGAGACACGGUCCAGACUCCUACGGGAGGCAGCAGUGGGGAAUUUUGGACAAUGGGCGCAAGCCUGAUCCAGCAAUGCCGCGUGCAGGAUGAAGGCCUUCGGGUUGUAAACUGCUUUUGUACGGAGCGAAAAGGCUCUCUCUAAUACAGGGGGCUCAUGACGGUACCGUAAGAAUAAGCACCGGCUAACUACGUGCCAGCAGCCGCCGUAA
rnacentral:rRNA from 1 species